UCUCCCAUUUGACUACCACAUUUUCUCCUAAUAAUCGAUUUUAGUGCCCAUGCAUAUGAGGUAGAUUAAAAUUGCCAUGAUCUGAAAAGGGGGGUUUAUUUGUGUUCUCCUCCUGUAUGAAAUGGCUGAACAGAAAAAA